rnacentral:snRNA from 1 species
GUAGGAGCUUAGGCUCCCA